ACACUCCUGCGGGAGGCAGCAGUGGGGAAUUUUGGACAAUGGGCGAAAGCCUGAUCCAGCAAUGCCGCGUGUGUGAAGAAGGCCUUCGGGUUGUAAAGCACUUUUGUCCGGAAAGAAAUCCUUGGCUCUAAUACAGUCGGGGGAUGGCGGUACCGGAAGAAUAAGCACCGGCUAACUACGUGCCAGCAGCCGCGGUAAUACGUAGGGUGCGAGCGUUAAUCGGAAUUACUGGGCGUAAAGCGUGCGCAGGCGGUUUGCUAAGACCGAUGUGAAAUCCCCGGGCUCAACCUGGGAACUGCAUUGGUGACUGGCAGGCUAGAGUAUGGCAGAGGGGGGUAGAAUUCCACGUGUAGCAGUUAAAUGCGUAGAGAUGUGGAGGAAUACCGAUGGCGAAGGCAGCCCCCUGGGCCAAUACUGACGCUCAUGCACGAAAGCGUGGGGAGCAAACAGGAUUAGAAACCCCAGUAGUCCCAUGAU
rnacentral:rRNA from 1 species